GUGGCAGCAUUAGAUUCCAAUAGGAGUGUGAACCCUAUUGUGAGCUGCGCGUGCGAGGGGUCUAGGCUGCGCGCUCCUUGUGAGACGCACUCCUUAUAAGAAUCUAACGCCUGAUGAUCUGUCAUUGUUUCCCAUCACCUCCAGAUGGAACCGUCUAGUUGCAGGAAAGCAAGAUGUCAGGGCUCCCACUGAUUCUACAUUAUGGGUGUGAAAGAAGAGUCAUCAUUCCUUCAAUCUAAAAGGAUUACAUCAAUUCAGUUCCAGAAAAUGGAGUGACUGCCAAUUAAAAAUGUGGGAAGAGAAAGUCUCCAUCUCCCUGAAGGAACAUACAGAGUCCUUUUAAGAUAAGUACAUUUAAAGAAAAUCGUUAUGCACAACACUAACUUCAUUGUAGGUUUUUGGCUCUCUUUCAUAUGACUAUGUCUUUGCAGAUGCCUUUAGUACCAGUGGGGAGUCUAUACUGGAAAUGCAUUCUUCGCCACUUGGCAGAGUAUUCACAGUAAAUGAAUAUCAGAGCUAGGAUUUUGUUGUUAGUUUUUUAUCUGUGGCUGGCUAAAAAGACAGACUUUUACCUACAGGUUGGAUUAUACUAAACAAAAAGAAGGAUAAGCAGAUUUUCUUUUAAGGCAAGACCAAAGGAAGGAAGGAAGACCAAAUCAAAUUUUCAUUUUGAAACAAUGAACAAUAGCAGACAAGUUGGUUAGCAGGGACACUACGUUUAAAUAUUUGUGUGUGUUUGCAUGUGGGGGGGUCUGUGUGUCUCAAAAUAGGAGCAGAAGGGCAGACUGAACACGUGUUCUUUCCCACCCCAAUUACUCUGAUAUGAUCAAAUAAAUAAAUACAUUCGUAACGCACUAGAAAACAAGAAAGGGUGGUGUCAACAUCAAAGAUGUUGAGAUAUUUAUAAAAGAUAUAGAGCAGAUAGGAUUGAAUUCUUCAUAAAAAAAAAGACCAGAAAAAAACACAUAGGAGAGAGAGAGUGCAGAGAUGAGAGUGCUUAUGGGAACUUCAGGCAGCCUUAGGAGGUCAAGGAGCAAUUGUCACAGUGAUUAACUGGGGCAGUGCAUUUAGAGGGACUAGGCUGAUCAGCCAGCCCCCCUACCUCCUGACUAAGCUGAGCAAAAGAGAGCAGGAAUUGCCCUCAGGCUAAACAGAUGAGCAUGGGCUCUGAGACCAAAGAGAUGGGACAAUUCAUUGUCACAAGUAGCUAGUGAUACCCUUGAGACCAGCUGAAACCUCCUCCUAGCAGAAUGCCCUGUCCUGUCCCCACGAUCACUGCAGAUAAACUCCUGUAAUCCGAAUCAAUUUCUACUAAAAUGUGAACAAGUUAUUCAAAUAUGUAUGCCAACAAAACUAAGAUUCCAAGAUAAAGAAAAAUGUGGGAUAUAAGAAAGCAUGAUAAGAAAAAAAUAUAUAUAUAGUUAAGUUUAAAUCUUUUUUCUUUAAUUUCAGCUUUUAUUUUAGAUAUGAGGACGGGAGCUACAUGUGUAAGAUGUGUACACAUAAAUGUGUACAUUAUAUGUGUACACAUAAAUGUGUACAUUAUAUGUGUACACAUAAAUGUGUACAUUAUAUGUGUACACAUAAAUGCUGAUGAACUCUAUAGUCAAAAACUAAUUAUAGUUGGAGGCAUAUUUUAAGAAUUUAAAAGUAAAACUUCUGGUUAAACUUAAUGGAUUAAGUCUACAUAUUUACUUUAUUUUAUUUUAGAGUGCUACUAAAAACUUAAAAGUAAAUUAAACAGGCCAGGCGUGGUGGCUCAUGCCUGUAAUCCCAGCACUUUAGGAGGCCAAGUCGGGCGGAUCAGGAGGUCAGGAGAUCAAGACCAUCCUGGCUAACACGGUGAA
ensembl:lncRNA novel transcript